GCUCAGAAACUACAAAGGAAUUGACGGGGCCCGCACAAGCGGAGGAGCAUGUGGUUUAAUUCGAUGAUACGCGAGGAACCUUACCUGGGCUCGAACGUAAGAUGACUGUAGGUGAAAGCUUACAUCUCUUCGGAGCAUUUUACGAGGUGCUGCAUGGUUGUCGUCAGCUCGUGCCGUGAGGUGUCGGGUUAAGUCCCAUAACGAGCGCAACCCUACCUUUAGUUGCCAUCAGGUAAUGCUGGGGACUCUAAAGGAACUGCCUACGCAAGUAGUGAGGAAGCGGGGAUGACGUCAAAUCAGCACGGCCCUUACGUCCAGGGCUACACACGUGCUACAAUGGCCGAUACAGAGGGCAGCUACCUGGUGACAGGAUGCAAAUCUCCAAAGUCGGUCUCAGUUCGGAUCGGAGUCUGCAACCCGACUCCGUGAAGUUGGAUUCGCUAGUAAUCGCGCAUCAGCCAUGGCGCGGUGAAUACGUUCCCGGGCCUU
rnacentral:rRNA from 1 species